rnacentral:rRNA from 1 species
AGAAUCAACGCUGGCGGCGUGCCUAACACAUGCAAGUCGAACGCGGUUACCACUGCUUCGCAAGAAGGAGUGGUGACUGAGUGGCGAACGGGUGAGUAACACGUGGGUGACCUGCCUUCGAGUGGGGGAUAACGUUCCGAAAGGGACGCUAAUACCGCAUGACAUCCUGCCUUUGAAGAGGUGGAUAUUAAAGCUGGGGAUCGUAAGACCUGGCGCUUGAAGAGGGGCCCGCGUCCGAUUAGCUAGUUGGUGGGUAACGCCUACCAAGGCGACGAUCGGU